CCUAUCAACAUCACACCAAAGUCUCAACUUUAUGCCCAAAACGGAAGGGAUAUAAUACAAAGCAAAGUAGCGAACAGGAAAAAGGUUACAGCACAAGAAAAACUUCGAAUCUCAAUAACCUAUCUCUUCGCUUAGUAUAUCACGAUCACAGAAUCAGAUAAAUUUAUUUGAUUGAGAAAUUGAUGAAGGUGUUGCUGUAAAAGUUCAAUUUGAUUUGGACAUUAUACGAUGUCUGCGAUGGUUUGCGGCAAGAGAUCCUUCUUCGAUGAUUUACAAUCGUCGUCGCCGACUUCACCGUCGACGCCUGUUUCAAAGAAGCUCCGGUGUGCCUCAACCUCUCCUAGAAGAUUCUCGCCGCCGCCGCCAGAGGAAGCUUCCGUUGAUCAUCUGACAGCUUUGUUUCGCGAUGUAGAUUGUCAGGUAUAGUGGACACUGCUUUUGUCCUAAAUGAUCCUCCAGCUGAUGGCACAGAAUGGGUGGAGUUGUUUGUGAGGGAAAUGAUGAAUGCUACAAGUACAGAUGAUGCUAGGGCUCGUGCGGCAAUAAUGUUGGAGAGCUUAGAGAAAUCCAUUAGUGCUAGUGCAAGUGCAGAAGCAACUCAAAAUUUUCAGAAGGAAAAUAUGAUGCUGAAGGAGCAAAUAGAACUGAUUCUUCGAGACAAUAUCAUUAUGAAACGUUUAGUGGCCAUCCAACAUGAACGACAAAAGGAGCACAAUGAUGAUAGGAUCCAGAAAGUGCAGCAGCUGAAGCACUUGAUUGCUCAAUAUCUCUCGAGGUACAAGCUGCAGCUUCAUAUAUUAUUUUUAUUGUAUCAAUGCACUAUAAAUGGAGAUGUGUUUUUAAUUACAACAAUAACAAGAGAUCAGAAUUAUUUUUGUUUACUGAUAGUAGUGCCAUUAAUGCAAGUCUUAUUCAGAAGUCUUUGGAUCUGA